ensembl:lncRNA
CAAACAGUCAGAUAAGUCAAACUUUAUUCAAGUCAUUCACAAACAACUCUCAACACUGUUCAGUUGUAACACAUAAAAUACAGAACAAUACACUCACUUUUUCAGUUCAUUCCUCAUCCACAAAUCCAUCAAACUCUUCAUGGGUUGAUCAGUUUGAAAUCUGCUUCUUAAGCAUGUCUCUUAGCACGUGCCAGGUCCUUGUACACACACCAUAAUGUUAUGUUGAAGCACCGUACGAAUUACUCUGCGAGGGUCCUGACUAUGGUAGCCAUAAUGCUCUGACAAUACAUCAAGCAGCGCAGCUUUGUAGCUUACGAAGUAUUACUAAAAUAUUUGACAGAAUUUUGAGCGCUGUGUACCACAGAAAUCCCGUUUGAGGUCAGUAAGCAUAACCAGAAUCGAUACACUAGGCACAUUGUAUGUUUUUGAGAAAAUGACAGGAUUUUAGGUGUGCCAUAUAGUCUGAAGAAUAUGGUAAAUCCAAGCAUGUUGGAAAUAUGACUAAUUCCAGGCCUUUUGUGUCUUACAGGUGACCUGCUGCAGAAGAUCCUCUCUCUCUCUCUAUCAUUAUAAGCAAUUCUGUCUAUCCUAUCACUCUCCCAACUCUAUCUAAUUUGAAAGCCAUUCUAUCUUGUAUCCCUCUAUCCCUACUGCUCUAUCUAAUUUGAAAGCCAUUCUAUCUUGUAUCCCUCUAUCCCUACUGCUCUAUCUAAUUUGAAAGCCAUUCUAUCUUGUAUCCCUCUAUCCCUACCGCUCUAUCUAAUUUGAAAGCCAUUCUAUCUUGUAUCCCUCUAUCCCUACCGCUCUAUCUAAUUUGAAAGCCAUUCCAUCUUGUAUCCCUCUAUCUCUACUGCUCUAUCUAAUUUGAGAAUCCAAGUUUUGAGAAUCCUUUCAGAAUCCAAUUUUCAGAAAUCCAAGUUACCAGAACUUGAUCUAUCUGUUACAGAAUUCUGAGAGAUCUCUGCUCUCACUGCUCUUUCUUUCCUGUCAUUAAGCUCUCUCACAUUCAGUCAUUUUGCUGGAAAUUACAAGUUGAAUAUACAGUAGUAGAAUUACAGUACAGUAGAACUUAUAGUAGAAACUACUUACACAGCCCUACAUUUGUCAUUUUAAUUUUGCAUUAGACUUUAGUUUGGACUGCUAGUUUGGCUUACUUUGAUCAAUUGUAUAAAAUAUCACCUCUUUAUAAGUUUAUUUGUAAUAAGAUAAUCUGGUUAUUUUGUAAUACAUACAUUCAGAUAAAUAAUAAAUUAGAUCCAGUCUGUUAGUCUGUUUCAUUGGCUAUAACAUUUGACUGCAAGUUUAUAGUACUAUUAUUUAAGGACAAACCCAUUUUGUCACUCAGUGUAAGUAUUCAGUUAGUAUUGUCAUCGAGAAGUGCCUGAGGACCCAGACUUCCUGUUUCCUGACUGCUGCAGAACAUCCAGCUGAAGAAACCCCGUUUCUAAAAGAGCUACAAUAAAACGGACCAAAUUGUUUCCAGAGAACUUUGAAUUUCCUUUAUUUUGAGUUUGGAGUACAAAUCAGCUUUUUAACAUCUAUUCAUAUAUUCAUAAAAACAUUUUAUAGUAUAAUAGUACAUUUCUCAGAUUUAACAGUAACUUAAGGAGUUAUAAGUUUUUCUGUGUUUCAAGGUUCAGUUUUGUUUAUAUUUGUGUAUAACCACAUAUAAGCUCCAGAUUGUACUUCAGCAAAAUGCCAAGAAAAGGUCAAAGGUCGCAGUCCUUGAAGCUUAGAUGGCAAAAGCAGAAAGAACAGGUGAAUGUUUCUCAGAGCAGUGAGCAGGUAAAGGUUUGUGUUUCAGCUUUUCCCAGCACAGAAGUGCAGAGCAGUGUUCAGACAGCCACAGUGUCUUAUGCAGAUGUGGUAAAAAAAGGUGUUCCCUCAGUGUCUGUCCCAGAGCCUGAAGUUAUGCAGGUAAUCCAGACUAAACCCCAGCUAACUGUACAAACACAGCAUGAUGGACAAGCUCCAGGACAGUCUCAUGUACAGGUUACAAACAGUGAAAGUCCACGAGUGAGUAGCGUCUGUGCUUCCCGAAGCCAGGCCGCUCCUAGGUAUGGAAAGUACCGGAAUCAGCAAUGCAUGGCUAACAGUUUGGUUUUCCUGUCAUUCUUACACGAGGAUGAAUUUAUUACCAGAGCAGAUCUAAACCGUGUGUUGGACAAAGGCCAUGCCGUCUAUUCAGAUGCCAGACUGAGGUUUGUGAACAGUGUGUUUCUAGCCUGCGAUGAACUUCCCUCAGUUGUUACCAGCCGCACACACGAGUAUCAAGUCGACAUGUCUCAGUUUGCUCAUUACGGCACAUUUGAUGGUACAGAUCACUUUCCGAGCCUUGAACAGGGAUUACAGUGUUUGGCUUCAGACGUUCGCUACGCUUUGCUAGUCAUGGGAGGAACAGUCAUCGCUGUUAGCAGGCUGACUUCAGGUGAAUAUGCAUAUUUUGACCCUCACCCACGUAAGUCUACUGGUAUGCCAUUGUCGCUAAGUGCAAGUGGUGGAACUGCAGUUAUGUUGAAAUUCACACGUCUUAAUGACAUGAUUGACAGGAUCAAACGUUUGUACAGAAUGUUUAGCAUCGCACCAAGCUGUACUUAUGAGCUACAGCCCAUCGAGUUUCACAGUGAAAACGCUGCUGACCAAAGAGAUGCUAAUGAAUACAGACAAACAGCUACAACUGUUCCAGCACCAGCUUUAAAUGAACCUGAAUUUGAAACCCCAAAGUCCACUGAGCAGACACAGAAAACUGUGGCCGACACUUUAGCUACUGAAGUGAUGUCAUCCAGAGUGGAUUAUUCAAAUGAGACAGCUGCUGAGCUGAACCAUCGUCCUUCUGAGUAUUUAGAAAAAGAAACCUCUGCAUCCUCUGUGAGAGAAACUCAGGUAACAUCAGAUUCUGUUCCUCAGAAUGAUUCAAACAGUGCCUCCAGUUCAACUAAGAUAACAGAGGAACUCUCAGAUAAACUGCUGAAAUAUAGUAAACAUGAAAGGCAAAAAAUGAGGAGAAGAUUAUUGACCCAACAAAAGCUACCACAGAGAAAGGAAAAUCAGAAGACGAAAGAAAGGCAGAUGUACAGGUUUGAUGAAAGCUUCAAGACAAAGAAAAAAAACUCAACUAAGAAGUGUAAUGAUCCUGAUCACAGACAGAAAAGGAGUCUGUACAAAAAUGAAUUGUAUAAAUUAAAUGCUACCUAUAAGGAGAAACAGAGAGAACAUUUUAGAAAGAUGUAUAGGGAAAGUGCUAAAAUUAGAGAGAGAAAAAGAGAACGUGUCAUAAGGACAUAUAAAGACAAUCCCC